rnacentral:rRNA from 1 species
GACGAACGCUGGCGGCGUGCUUAACACAUGCAAGUCGAACGGAAAGGCCCUGCUUUUGUGGGGUGCUCGAGUGGCGAACGGGUGAGUAACACGUGAGUAACCUGCCCUUGACUUUGGGAUAACUUCAGGAAACUGGGGCUAAUACCGGAUAGGAGCUCCUGCUGCAUGGUGGGGGUUGGAAAGUUUCGGCGGUUGGGGAUGGACUCGCGGCUUAUCAGCUUGUUGGUGGGGUAGUGGCUUACCCAGGCUUUGACGGGUAGCCGGCCUGAGAGGGUGACCGGCCACAUUGGGACUGAGAUACGGCCCAGACUCCUACGGGAGGCAGCAGUGGGGAAUAUUGCACAAGGGGCGGAAGCCUGAUGCAGCAACGCCGCGUGCGGGAUGACGGCCUUCGGGUUGUAAACCGCUUUCGCCUGUGACGAAGCGUGAGUGACGGUAAUGGGUAAAGAAGCACCGGCUAACUACGUG